rnacentral:rRNA from 1 species
GACGAACGCUGGCGGCGUGCUUAACACAUGCAAGUGGAGCGACGAACCGGGCUUCGGCCCGGGGCAAAGCCGCGAACGGGUGAGUAACACGUGGGUAACCUGCCCCGAUGACUGGGACAACCCGAGGAAACUCGGGCUAAUACCAGAUGUGGUCGCCUCACAUAAGUGAGAUGACUAAAGAUAGCUUCGGCCUUCGCAUCGGGAUGGGCCCGCGGCGCAUUAGCUUGUUGGUGGGGUAACGGCCACCAAGGCGACGAUGCGUAGCUGGUCUGAGAGGACGAUCAGCCACACUGGGACUGAGACACGGCCCAGACUCCUACGGGAGGGCAGCAGUGGGGAAUCUUGCGCAAUGCACGAAAGUGUGACGCAGCAACGCCGCGUGAGGGAAGACGGCCUCGG